UGUUCUGUGGCUCAGUUGGUUAAAGCGCCGGUCUAGCGAAUACGGAGUCGUGGGUUCGAAUUCCACCAGAACGC
rnacentral:tRNA from 1 species